rnacentral:tRNA from 1 species
GGUCGUGUGCCCGAGUGGUGAGGGAGCGGUCGGCAAAACCGCGUACGCCGGUUCGAUCCCGGUCACGGCCUCGA